rnacentral:rRNA from 1 species
UGGGGAAUUUUGGACAAUGGGGGCAACCCUGAUCCAGCCAUGCCGCGUGAGUGAAGAAGGCCUUCGGGUUGUAAAGCUCUUUCGGUGGGACGAAAUGGGGCGUGUGAACAAUGCGCCUCGAUGACGGUACUCACAGAAGAAGCACCGGCUAACUACGUGCCAGCAGCCGCGGUAAUACGUAGGGUGCGAGCGUUAAUCGGAAUUACUGGGCGUAAAGCGUGCGCAGGCGGUCUUGCAAGCUGGGUGUGAAAGCCCCGGGCUCAACCUGGGAGGUGCAUUCAGGACUGCGAGGCUGGAGUGCGGCAGAGGGAGGUGGAAUUCCACGUGUAGCAGUGAAAUGCGUAGAGAUGUGGAGGAACACCGAUGGCGAAGGCAGCCUCCUGGGCCGACACUGACGCUCAUGCACGAAAGCGUGGGGAGCAAACAGGAUUAGAUACCCUGGUAGUCCACGCCCUAAACGAUGUCGACUGGUUGUUGGGGAAGG